AUUGAACGCUGGCGGCAUGCCUUACACAUGCAAGUCGAACGGUAACGGGUCCUUCGGGAUGCCGACGAGUGGCGAACGGGUGAGUAAUAUAUCGGAACGUGCCCAGUAGUGGGGGAUAACUGCUCGAAAGAGCAGCUAAUACCGCAUACGACCUGAGGGUGAAAGGGGGGGAUCGCAAGACCUCUCGCUAUUGGAGCGGCCGAUAUCAGAUUAGCUAGUUGGUGGGGUAAAGGCCUACCAAGGCAACGAUCUGUAGUUGGUCUGAGAGGAGGGCCAGCCACACUGGGACUGAGACACGGCCUAGACUCCUACGGGAGGCAUCAGUGGGGAAUGUUGUGCAAUGGGCGCAAGCCUGAUCCAGCAAUGCCGCGUGCAGGAAGAAGGCCUUCGGGUUGUAAAGCUCUUUCGGCCGGGAAGAAAUCGUGUUCUCUAACAUAGGACAUGGAUGACGGUACCGGACUAAGAAGCACCGGCUAACUACGUGCCAGCCGCCGCCGUAAGAC
rnacentral:rRNA from 1 species